CUGUGUGUGCCCAUAGUUGCCUUUGUGAUGCCCAUAAGGUGCCUUCCAAGUGCCCCAUAAGUGCCUUCAAGUGCCCCAUAAGUGCUGUGUGUGCCCCAUAAGUGCCUUCAAGUGCCCCAUAAGUGCUGUGUGAGCCCCAUAAGUGCCUUCAAGUGCCCCAUAAGUGCCUUCAAGUGCCCCAUAAGUGCCUUCAGGUGCCCCAUAAGUGCUGUGUGAGCCCCAUAAGUGUCUUUAAGUGCCCCAUAAGUGCCAUGGGGCGCCCCAUAACCACGUC
rnacentral:lncRNA from 1 species